rnacentral:rRNA from 1 species
UAGGGAAUCUUCCGCAAUGGACGAAAGUCUGACGGAGCAACGCCGCGUGAGUGAUGAAGGUUUUCGGAUCGUAAAACUCUGUUGUUAGGGAAGAACAAGUAUGAGAGUAACUGCUCAUACCUUGACGGUACCUAACCAGAAAGCCACGGCUAACUACGUGCCAGCAGCCCCGGUAAUACGUAGGUGGCAAGCGUUGUCCGGAAUUAUUGGGCGUAAAGCGCGCGCAGGCGGUCCUUUAAGUCUGAUGUGAAAGCCCACGGCUCAACCGUGGAGGGUCAUUGGAAACUGGGGGACUUGAGUGCAGGAGAGAAGAGUGGAAUUCCACGUGUAGCGGUGAAAUGCGUAGAGAUGUGGAGGAACACCAGUGGCGAAGGCGACUCUUUGGCCUGUAACUGACGCUGAGGCGCGAAAGCGUGGGGAGCAAACAGG